rnacentral:pre_miRNA from 1 species
CAGCAUUGGGUUCUCAGUGGGCAACACUCUUGGGGCAUAUCCACCAUGGCCUGGGCUCUGCUCCUCCUUACCCUCCUCACUCAGGGUACAAGUGA